rnacentral:rRNA from 1 species
UACGGAGGGGGCUAGCGUUGUUCGGAAUUACUGGGCGUAAAGCGCACGUAGGCGGCUUUGUAAGUUAGAGGUGAAAGCCUGGAGCUCAACUCCAGAAUUGCCUUUAAGACUGCAUCGCUUGAAUCGCGGAGAGGUGAGUGGAAUUCCGAGUGUAGAGGUGAAAUUCGUAGAUAUUCGGAAGAACACCAGUGGCGAAGGCGGCUCACUGGACGCGUAUUGACGCUGAGGUGACGAAAGCGUGGGGAGCAAACAGG